rnacentral:lncRNA from 1 species
AUAGCUUGAUAUAUUUAUUUCUUUUAUCUAUCUUACUAUUUCAAUAUAAUUAUGAUCAGAAUGUAUUAUAACGUAUCUUGUUUUACCAUUAAUUUUAAAUUCAGGUGCUGUAUUGUAUAGAUUAACCUUUGAAUACCACAUAAAUAUAUGUUAACCCUUGAAUGUGACAGAAGCCAGUCCCCAUCUGUGAUAUUUCAAAUGACAGACUAGAAUCACUUUUCAUCCCCACUGCAGAAGAUAGCUAUCAUAUUUAUUUCAACAAUGGGAACUUGUUUUCUUAUUUUGAGGGCCAGCCACAUUCAAUUAUAGAUCUUUCAUCAGUAGCCAUACCUUUACUACAACCUUGGUUUUUCUUAUCACAAAUUAUUGAAUAAUACCUGUAAUAGUUUAGGCAAACGACAACUGUAAUAAUAAAUAAAAUUUACAGAAUUGAUUCUUCAUACUGCAUGGUUCUUAGAUUAGACCAGAAGUCAAGGUGAACAAAGAGUGCAUAUAAUCUAAUAAAUUAUUGAUUUAUUUCUUGUUAAAAUUUUAGAUAAGAAAAAGAAAAAAAUACUUAUAAUUCCCUACAUUAAAAAUUCAUCAUAUGCCC